UUGUGUGCAAUGAUAUUUUGGUUAGCGUAAUCGAACUGAUUAUGAACCACGGACCGACCGUGGACCGCCAGUAAACAGUAAUUAUAAACCAGCGGCUCGUCAGCGGACCACUGUCGGAAAAGCGUUGUGUGUGCGUUGGUGGUCCGCUGGAAUAACGAUGAGCAAAACGCCGGUGAACCUCGGGCGGCGUCCGCCGGUGGGCCGCCGACUUUGCCACCAGUGGCCCGCUGAUCUUAUGUUAGCUGGGUUCUAUCUGGACAGAAGAGCGAGCGAGGUCGUAUUAUGGCGAGCAUCAGGUCGUUUACUGGGAAGAAGAUUUGGUGUUGAUAGAGGAGGUGACGUCUUCAAGGCAAAACCUUAGACCUGAUGCAGCAUCAUCCAAUGUUGCAAUCACCCUCAGGAGGCACUUGAAGCCCAGUGCCCGAUAUGCACAGGAACAUUUCCAGUGUCAGAAGUAGAACUGCCAUGCCAGCUUUUGUGGAGAAAGGCUCUCCAAGGAAGGUGAUUUUCAAGGGACUGACAGGGCUUCCUGUUUUUGACAUGUUAUCUGGUGACAGAUUUCAGAUGUCUUUGUGGUGUUUAUCUGUGCUGCUGCAUGACGAAAUCACAUCCUCCUCACCGUAAAAAUAAAUAAAUAAAAUUGUAUGUGUGUAACGUGUCUGCCCUGUCUAAAGUCCCCGUUGUCCUUAUUUGGUUUAGUUCCGGUCCCGAUUAGUUAAUUAUCUGUCAUUGUCCCCACCUGAGUUUGAUGAUGUUGUUUGCUCUUUUGUUCUCUCUCCUUUAUAAGUCCUCAGUUCUCCUUUUGUGUUUGUCCGUUCUUAAUGUAAUAAAGUGGGAAAAGUG